GAAAUAAAUAAUAUAAAGCUUCUAACUUUAUUAUUGGAUAUAAAUUAUCUUUAUUUCU
rnacentral:tRNA from 1 species